GAUGAACGCUGGCGGCGUGCCUAAUACAUGCAAGUCGAGCGAACGGACGAGAAGCUUGCUUCUCUGAUGUUAGCGGCGGACGGGUGAGUAACACGUGGAUAACCUACCUAUAAGACUGGGAUAACUUCGGGAAACCGGAGCUAAUACCGGAUAAUAUUUUGAACCGCAUGAUUCAAAAGUGAAAGACGGUCUUGCUGUCACUUAUAGAUGGAUCCGCGCUGCAUUAGCUAGUUGGUAAGGUAACGGCUUAUCAAGGCAACGAUGCAUAGCCGAACUGAGAGAGUGAUAGGCCACCCGGGAACGGGACCACGGACAAGACGACUACGGGAGGGAGCAGUAGGGAAUCUUCCGCAAUGGGCGAAAGCAUGACGGAGCAACGGCGCGUGAGUGAUGAAGGUCUUCGGAUCGUAAAACUCUGUUAUUAGGGAAGAACAUAUGUGUAAGUAACUGUGCACAGCUUGACGGUACCUAAUAAGAAAGCCACGGCUAACUACGUG
rnacentral:rRNA from 1 species